rnacentral:SRP_RNA from 2 species
GCCGAGCUCAGUUGCGAGAGCUUGUAACCCGAGUGGGGGCAUUAGGUGAUGUGGACGUUGUUGUAGUACUACGGGCCUGGUCUGGGUGUGCUACUGUUGGCCCACCCGUUCCAAGUUGUGUAGUGGGCCUCUUGGGGCCUAUGCGAAAGCUGGGCCUCACGGUCCAUAAUGUGGGGGCACAGCGUGAGGCUGGCUUCACAGAGCAGCGACAACUGCCCGCUUCCAACGGUGGAAGGAUAACGGGCCGCUGCACUCCUUGGCCGCUUGGGCCUCGCAGCCUACUCUAGUGGACCAUCACUUUU